GACGAACCGUCCAAACGUUAUUCGGAAUCACUGGGCUUACAGAGUUCGUAGGCGGUCUGGAAAGUUGGGUGUGAAAUCCCUCGGCUCAACCGAGGAACUGCGCUUGAAACUACCAGACUCGAGGGAGAUAGAGGAAAGCGGAACUGAUGGUGGAGCGGUGAAAUGCGUUGGUAUCAUCAGGAACACCGGUGGCGGAGGCGGCUUCUGGGUCUUACCUGACGCUGAGGAACGAAAGCUAGGGGAGCGAACGGG
rnacentral:rRNA from 1 species